rnacentral:lncRNA from 8 species
GUCCACUCAGCUAAAGUCAGAUUUGCAGAGCCAUGUCAGAGGAUUGAGUGUGAGUUGUAAAUAUUGGAAUGAGGUAACUUUCUGUCUCUUAGGGAAACCUUGGAUCUCUUUUUGUCUUUCAGACCUUACUGUCACUGAUAAUGGUGUGGUUUUGCACACCCAAUUGUAGAAAAGAGGCUGGACAAGAAAAAUGUCAAUGUUGCCAUCCCAGAAGUUUCCUUCCACCACGUUCAGACAGGCCAGUAGGAUUCCAGUUUUGAAGAGCCACAGACCGUCCAGGGGCACAGACAGGGGUGGAGAAGGAAUUGGACAGGAUAACCUUGAAAGGGCUGCCCGACUGCAAGAAGAGGGCUAAAUUGCAAGAGCUGUCCUUUGAAGAAAGGGAAGAGGUGCAGGAGCUUGCCGCUUCCCGUCUACCUGGAGUGAUUGUUUGACAUCAUGGAGUACCAGAGAGCUAUCCCAGGGUAUCUGGACAACCUCGCUGGUGCACUUGCAUGAAUUGCAGGGAGACUCCUGCAUCUUACAACACACAAUUGCUACCAUUUUACCACUGCAAUAUUCCAUUUAUUUAUUACCAAGCAUGUUUACAUAACAGGUUAACACUUUCCAUGACUACACAGUAAUUUAUUCUUCAUUUGGAUCCCAAUUAGGAAAAAUACUCAAUGGGGAUGUCUUUGUAAGUUGUUUUUUGUGAAUUUUUCCUUGGUCUGGGUGAUAUCACUUUGUUAGAAUGUUUCCCUUACAUUGUGCUUUUGUUAUUUUGAGGAAGGUUACAGAGACUACCUUGUAUUCUUGUUUAUCUUUCUAAUAAAACUAUUUGAGCUGAUCUGUAUAAUCAGACCGACUUGUUAUGAACUGUAUUUACAUAAGGGUAGUCCAUCCAUCUUUCUGGAUAUCAACCUAUUUGUAGGUCUGCUAAUUUGAAGUGUAAACCGUCAAGAGCAGAGCUAUCUAGGAAAAGAGAACAGUUUAGUAAAUCCUUCUAAGAAAUAUUCUAAAAGUACAAUAAUGAUUGUACUUAUUGUACUCUAA